CCUACGGGUGGCUGCAGUGGGGAAUAUUGGACAAUGGGCGAAAGCCUGAUCCAGCAAUGCCGCGUGAGUGAUGAAGGCCUUAGGGUUGUAAAGCUCUUUUACCAGGGAUGAUAAUGACAGUACCUGGAGAAUAAGCUCCGGCUAACUCCGUGCCAGCAGCCGCGGUAAUACGGAGGGAGCUAGCGUUGUUCGGAAUUACUGGGCGUAAAGCGUGCGUAGGCGGUUAUUCAAGUCAGAGGUGAAAGCCUGGAGCUCAACUCCAGAACUGCCUUUGAAACUAGAUAACUAGAAUCUUGGAGAGGUGAGUGGAAUUCCGAGUGUAGAGGUGAAAUUCGUAGAUAUUCGGAAGAACACCAGUGGCGAAGGCGACUCACUGGACAAGUAUUGACGCUGAGGUACGAAAGCGUGGGGAGCAAACAGGCUUAGAUACCCUUGUAGUC
rnacentral:rRNA from 1 species